rnacentral:rRNA from 1 species
CCUACGGGAGGCUGCAGUGGGGAAUCUUCCGCAAUGGGCGAAAGCCUGACGGAGCAACGCCGCGUGAUCGAAUGAAGGCCUUCGGGUUGUAAAGAUCUGUUGACAGGGACGAAUAAGCAAUGCAAAUAGUUUUGUGUAUGACGGUACCUGUUUAGAAAGCUCCGGCUAACUACGUUCCAGCAGCCGCUGUAAUACGUAGGGAGCAAGCGUUGUCCGGAAUUACUGGGCGUAAAGGGCGCGUAGGUGGGCGCUUAAGUCAGGUGUGAAAACUCCGGGCUCAACCUGGAGACUGCUCUGGAAACUGUGUAACUGGAGUGCAGGAGAGGAAGGCGGAAUUCCUAGUGUAGCGGUGAAAUGCGUAGAUAUUAGGAGGAACACCAGUGGCGAAGGCGGCCUGCUGGACUGUAACUGACGUUGAGGCUCGAAAGCGUGGGGAGCAAACAGGAUUAGAUACCCUUGUAGUC